rnacentral:rRNA from 1 species
CCUACGGGCGACAGCAGUGAGGAAUAUUGGUCAAUGGGCGCGAGCCUGAACCAGCCAAGUCGCGUGAGGGAGUACUGCCCUAUGGGUUGUAAACCUCUUUUGUCGGGGAGCAAAAGCCGGACCUGUCCGGCUGUCAGAGUACCCGAAGAAAAAGCAUCGGCUAACUUCGUUCCAGCAGCCGCGGUAAUACGGAGGAUGCGAGCGUUAUCCGGAUUUAUUGGGUUUAAAGGGUGCGCAGGCGGAUUUUUAAGUCAGCGGUAAAAACGUGGGGCUCAACCCCCUCCAGCCGUUGAAACUGGGGGUCUAGAGAGUGCGAGAGGUAUGCGGAAUGCGUGGUGUAGCGGUGAAAUGCAUAGAUAUCGCGCAGAACCCCGAUUGCGAAGGCAGCAUACCGGUGCACAACUGACGCUCAGGCACGAAAGCGUGGGUAUCGAACAGGAUUAGAUACCCGAGUAGUC